rnacentral:rRNA from 1 species
UCAAUAAGCGGAGGAAAAGAAACCAACAGGGAUGCCUCAGUAACGGCGAGUGAAGCGGCAACAGCUCAAAUUUGAAAUCUGGCCCCCUCGGGGCCCGAGUUGUAAUUUGUAGAGGAUGCUUCGGGUGCGACCGUGGCCUAAGUUCCUUGGAACAGGACGUCAUAGAGGGUGAGAAUCCCGUACGUGGCCCCCGGUCAAGCCCGUGUGAAGCUCCUUCGACGAGUCGAGUUGUUUGGGAAUGCAGCUCAAAAUGGGUGGUAAAUUUCAUCUAAAGCUAAAUACUGGCCAGAGACCGAUAGCGCACAAGUAGAGUGAUCGAAAGAUGAAAAGCACUUUGAAAAGAGAGUUAAACAGCAUGUGAAAUUGUUGAAAGGGAAGCGCUUGCCACCAGACUUGCUCGGGGUCGAUCAGCCGGUGUUCUCACCGGUGCACUCGUCCCCGGACAGGCCAGCAUCGGUUCGGGCGGCCAGAUAAAGGCCCCGGGAACGUAGCUCCCCCUCGGGGGUGCCUUAUAGCCCGGGGUGCCAUGUGGCCCGCCCGGACCGAGGAACGCGCUUCGGCUCGGAUGCUGGCGUAAUGGUUGCAAGCGACCCGUCUUGAAACACGGACCAAGGAGUCUAACAUCUAUGCGAGUGUUUGGGUGUCAAACCCUUGCGCGGAAUGAAAGUGAACGGAGGUGGGAACCCUCACGGGUGCACCAUCGACCGAUCCUGAUGUCUUCGGAUGGAUUUGAGUAAGAGCAUAGCUGUUGGGACCCGAAAGAUGGUGAACUAUGCCUGAAUAGGGUGAAGCCAGAGGAAACUCUGGUGGAGGCUCGCAGCGGUUCUGACGUGCAAAUCGAUCGUCAAAUUUGGGUAUAGGGGCGAAAGACUAAUCGAACCAUUUGGUA